ensembl:lncRNA uncharacterized LOC107683794
UGUCUCUGCGUUGUGCUGAAACCUGUAGUUUGAUCGACACCGUUACGAUCGACAGACACAAUGGAGAAAUCGGUUUUCUUCUUCUGUGUGUUUUCAUGUUGGAUUAUGCAAAUCACAUCCAAUGGUAAAUAUACUCUAUUUCAGACAUUAUGAAAUUAAAUAACUAUUAUUAUGAGCAUGGUCUAAAAGGAUCUGUUUUUAUAAUGUCUCUCCAGAUGCGUCAGUACGAGGGUCUUAUGAUCUGCUGAGGGUUCAGAUGGGAGAAAACAUCAGUCUGAACUGCAGCAUGAGAAACCGAUAUGAAGUCGCCUGGUAUCACCUCAAUUCUGAAAAACUAGAUCUAUUGAUUUCUGUGAAGAAAGACAAAACUGGAAGAAAUCUCCUGACCAACUAUGAUCCAAACAGCCCUCGUCUGAAACUUACUGCAGACACAAGGAUCACCAGAGUCUCUCUAGAGAUUUCUGGAGUAACAGAGUCAGAUUUGGGCAUUUAUUUCUGUGGAACAAAGUCUGAUGCUCCAGAGAUGUUCUUCGACAAACCCAUCAGACUAGAGAUCGAGGGUCUUUCUGUAACAGAAAAGCCUAAAGAAGUUGACAUCACAGGUAACAUGUUGGUUGUUAUCUUGGUCGUUCAUUUAAUUUUUCAUGUUCUAACUCUGCUGCGGAGAUCCAGCACAAAUUCUAGUUAUCAGUUAACACUUUUCAGGUUGUACAAAUCUGAAUAUUUCUUCUGUCUCUGUCUCUCUGUAGAUGGAGUGACUACGAUCGAGAGGGCAUUGAUGUUUGGUGGUGUUGGUCUGGCUAUUGUUGUGUUUUUUCUGGCUACAGUCAUUGCAGGAGGAAUCAUUCACUAUCGCGGCUGGCAGAAAGGAUGGAGCGCAGGCAAACGCUCAUCUCUGAUUCAGCACAAAUCGGCUAAAUGACACAUUUGUGUGCUUUAUUUUACUGUCUGAGCUUUGCACUGCCAGCUAAACCAGCAUUACUGUAGGUUACCACAAAAUAAAACAGAACACUGUGGCCUAAAUUCUUUUCCUGUUGGCCAGAUCUACUUUCACUUCAGAGAAACAGAGAUGUUUUGUCAGAUGUCACCUUUUUCAGCCCCAGUGAAACAUGGAUUGUUGUGGUUAUUAUUCAGGUUUGUGCAGUUUAUUUGUGCUUGUCAAUAAUAUUCAGUUAAAUAUAAAAGUGCUGUUACUGCUACUGUUUUUAAUGCAACAAUUCAAUAUCAAUACACAAUAUUCAAGCUGGAGUUGCAUGUUUUAAGCAUUUUUACUUUAAUAUAGAGACUGAGCCAAAGUCCUUAUUAAAAAAGAACAGCAGAUGGCUUCUGUCACAGUCAAUGCAUAUGCUUUAAAAUCAUUAGAUCAGCAGGACUUGUGUUAAAAAAGUGCUUGUAUGUUUAGACAUGAUAUAUUUAUCUAGACUAGCAUUAAUAUGUACAUGUAAGCUAUUUUCAAGAGAAAAUAUAAAUGUAAAUCUCUUCUAUGGCACAUAAAUCUUGAUUAAAUUAAACUGCGAACAGAUUAAUGUUAAAUGUAUUAUUUAGAGUUCAAAGCAGUAAAACUGAGAAACUGUGUGUUUGUGCAUUUUCUGACACAAAACCAGAUCAUGCCAUUUCUCUUAAAACACAACCGUCCUCAAACUUACAGAAAAACGGGUUUCAACCCUUUUCAACAACAAGCUGAGGUUAAGAGAUGAUGUUUUUUUUUUUUGGCAAAUAAAGCUUGAUUAAAUAAAAAUGUGUUCAAUGAUAAAUGAGUUGUUGAGAGUUCUGAUGAAAUAAACAGCAGUAAAACUAACACAUUUAAUGUAUUUGUGCAUUCUCUGACCAUAUGAACCUCUUCAAACACAG